GCCUAAGGUCGCUGGGAGGGCGUCGUCCAUUUGAUUUUGGCGGGUUUCCAAGGAGAGGAGAAGGGAAGGAGAGGCAGACGUCAAGAAUCCUUAUGCGAAGCCUCAGCUGCUCCUAACAUGGACGAUAAUGAUAACUUAGACCUGUGUAGCCUCCCUCUUG